GAUGAACGCUGGCGGCGUGCCUAAUACAUGCAAGUCGAGCGAACGGACGAGAAGCUUGCUUCUCUGAUGUUAGCGGCGGACGGGUGAGUAACACGUGGAUAACCUACCUAUAAGACUGGGAUAACUUCGGGAAACCGGAGCUAAUACCGGAUAAUAUUUUGAACCGCAUGGUUCAAAAGUGAAAGACGGUCUUGCUGUCACUUAUAGAUGGAUCCGCGCUGCAUUAGCUAGUUGGUAAGGUAACGGCUUACCAAGGCAACGAUGCAUAGCCGACCUGAGAGGGUGAUCGGCCACCCUGGAACUGAGACACGGUCCAGACUCCUACGGGAGGCAGCAGUAGGGAAUCUUCCGCAAUGGGCGAAAGCCUGACGGAGCAACGCCGCGUGAGUGAUGAAGGUCUUCGGAUCGUAAAGCUCUGUUAUUAGGGAAGAACAUAUGUGUAAGUAACUGUGCACAUCUUGACGGUACCUAAUCAGAAAGCCCCGGCUAACUACGUG
rnacentral:rRNA from 1 species